rnacentral:lncRNA from 1 species
AGUUGCUCGGCGGGCGCCAUCUUUCUCGCGGCGCGGGCGGCGCCCUCCGAGGACAUCUCGAUGACCAGGGCGCCGCGAGGCCCGGGGCUAGCGGGAGCCGAGAGCAGGGUGCUGAAUUCUGGAGAUGGGACUGGGGUCGCGCGGCCUUCUCCUUCCCCACGCCCCCAGACCCAAAAGACGAGGCCGCCGGCUCGGAGCGGGAAGGGCUGGGGCCAGCUUCUUCCUCCUAACCACUUGUUUGUGAUGGAAGAAGGGGGCUGGGGGUCGAGCCUCGCGGCUGAUGGGUUCCCUCCCUGACCCCGCACCCCCACUCCUCCCAGUCGAAAUUGGAGGUGAGGCGCUCCUGCCAUUUUCUCUCCUGCGGUCUGAGAGUGGACGUCUUUGUCUUCUCUGGCCCGGCGUGGGGGCAGGGCAUUGAGCCUUUUCCUUAAUUCUUCAGUUAUUGAAAGUAGAGUCCAACCAGGUUACAAAACUAAAAAAAAGAGUCCAGGACAUUGUCUGUCUGCCUUCCGGUAGCAUGGUUCUCUGUGGGUACCCUACGCUUCGUUUCUUAGUUUUACUCUAAAACAACCCUGAGGAGACAUUUACUAGUUGUCAGAUUACGGGAAGGUGAUGGGUUCCAGUUUUUUGAAACUUUUUUUGUUGGCUUUCAUAUUACUUCAAAUGGCAGUGAAUUAAAACAGUUUCUUAGAACUCUAAUCUGAAAAGUUAAAUACGCUUUAAAACAGUCUGAAACUCUUCUAAAAAGCAAAACUGCAUUAUUAAAAGCAUCCAUGUAAGUAUCUGUUGGUAGUAUCUAUUAGAGAUGGGGGAGGGGUUUAACUUUUACAUUAUUAUUGAAAAGAGGAGGGGAAAGGUCUAUAAAGCUCUGAUCUCUCUAGAAGUCCACAUACAUGGAAAGUAAAUAGUUAAUUUCUAGUGUAGAAAAAUAACACCGUGGUGCCAGUAGGUGUGUCCUUGUGUUUAUAAAUAUACAUAGUGGAUGUUUUAGACCAUUUAAUGAGACCUAUUAUAUAUUGAAUACCUGCUGUAUGCCAGGAACUGUGCCUGAUGCUUUGUAUAAUUUCUAUUAUAUCAGCCCAGAAAUAGUGAUUUUAUGAUCUGUCUACCGGGGAAUGAACUAACGUUCAUAGAAGUAUAGUAAUUGUUCGAGGUCUUGCAGUUUUAAGUAGUAAAGUUGCCAUUGGAUCACAAAAGCUGUAUUCUUCCCCCUACACCUAUGGUUUCCAAAUGUGAGCAUCAGAAUUAAUUUGGGAGAUGUUUUUAAAUAGAGAUUUGUAACAUCACCUCUUCCACCAUCAUUUGCUAGGGCCAACUGGGUCUUUUAAUAAUGUGUCAGGCACUCCAACUUCUUGAUGUUCAAUAUUGACAUUCUGGCCCACCCUGCACCCGCUAUAUCCAAAGAUCUAGUAUUCCAAAGCUCUCCAGGUGAUUCCAGUGACACAGACACACGUUUGGACUGUCUUGUACUAUGCUAUGCACUGUUCUGCUCUUUUUUGAAUUGGAACAUGAGAAUUGAGGUCCAUGUAAUUUUGAGUUUCAGUAGUUUUUUGCUCACAUUAGUCUCAUUUUUGUUUUUCCUCUUGUAGCUGCCAUUUAUCAAAUCGAAAUUAUUUCCUCAGAGAAAAAGGUUUAGGUAUCCUAAGACUUUAAAAUCUCAGUACGUUUUUUUUUAAAGUAUGUUGUCUCAUUCUAUUGAGAAGUUAUACAACAUACAGGCUUCUAGGUCUAGCCAGGCCAUCUAGUUUAGUCAAGACAGCUGUGUAACAAACGUAGCCUUGAGGCCUGGCACGGUGGCUCAUGCCUGUAAUCCCAGCACUUUUGAGGCUGAGGCGGGCGGAUUACCUGAAGUCAGGAGUUAGAGACCAGCCUGUCCAACGUGGUGAAACCCCGUCUGUACUAAAAAUACAAAAAAGCUAGCCGAGUGUGGUGGCAGGUGCCUGUAAUCCCAGCUACUUGGGAGGCUGAGGCGAGAGAAUCACUUGAACUGGGGAGGCAGAGGUUGCAGUGGCCCGAGACCCCACCAUUGCACUCCAGUCCGGGAAACAAGAACGAAACUCCCAUCUCAAAAAAAAAAAAAAGAAUUGAAUCCAGGAUUGAUCCAGAAAUUGAGAAUAGGGUAGAAAAGACCCUGAUAUAAAGACCUGAAGAUAAAUCCUUAAAAGAAAAGGUUGUUUCCUGAAUUUUGAAUUGUGGACAUAUCUUCUGGGUUUUGGGAAGUAGGAUAGUCAAGUUAUGUGGAACCUAAUAGCAGAAUAUGGAUAAAAACACAGGUCAGGGCCAGGCACAGUGGCUCACACCUGUAAUCCCAGCACUUCGGGAGGCCGAGGUGGGCGGAUCACGAGGUCAGGAGUUCGAGACCAGCCUGACCAACGUGGUGAAACCCCGUUUCUACUAAAAAUACAAAAAUUAGCCGGGCUUGGUGGGCACAUGCCUGUAAUCUCAGCUACUCAGGAGGCUGAGACAGGAGAAUGGUUUGAACCUGGGAGACGGAGGUUGUAGUGAGCUGAGAUCGCGCCACUGCACUCCAGCCUGGAGACAAAAAACACAGGUCAGGAAGAAGCAUCUAGAGCAGGUGAUGAAUAGAUGACCUUACUAAAAUGAGAAAGAACCAAGUCAGUGAUGAAAUCAUUAAUUUCUCUGGAUUAAGGAUCAUGGAUUUUAUUUUGUGCUUUCUCUUGUUGAUUCUUCUCAAAUCGUUGUGUUUAGUAAUUGCUAGGGAGAGUAGUUUAAAACUUAGAUUUUUGAUGCAGAUGUCAGAAUUAUACCAUCUUUGCAUAUGUCCACAUUGGAAAGUUUUUGUAAGGAGCAUUUGUUGGAUACCUCUGUGCAGUCUGUGUCCAGUCUAGACCACUAGGUGGGUGGAGUGACUUCCAGUUUUUGAAGGGAAGUCACUUCUGGUUUUUCUCCCCUUGUUUUUUAUGGUAAAUGCCAAAGUAAUUAUAAUCUUUGACUAGACUAAAAUCCAAUAAAGCUUGAAAGGAGGGGGAAAUCUAAAACUGCUUAGAGGGAAACAGUAGCUUCUUUAACCUUGUUGGAAUUUUAAGACCGGCAAGAUCUCUGCACUCAUGAAAUUUACAGUAUAGUGGGGAAGGACAGAAAAUAGUUAAAAAAUCAAGAUAAUGACAGAUUAAGAAAAAAUAUUAAGUGGCUGGUGGAUCUAAAAGAGUAUGUUGGGAAUGACCAUUUUGGCUAGUAAGGGUCAAAGAAAGUCUUUUCAUAGAGGUGAUAUUUGAGCUGAGACGUGAAACAUGAACUUGUGCUAGCCAUGUGAAAAGCUGGGGAGACAUUUCAGACCUGGGAACAAGUUCAAAGACCUGGAAGGCUGGUUGUUAGACUGGAGAGAAGGCUCCUCUGAGCAAGGGGAGAAAUUAUGAAUAGGGUAGGAAUGAGAUGGAGUUGGAGAGAUCCUAUAGGUCGUCUUGUAUUACUCCAUAGGGGGAUUUUUGGAUUUAAUUCUAAUGGCAAUGAGAGGGGUUUUAAUUUGGGCAGUGAUAAUGUUUUUAAAAAUAACUGGCUAUUUAGAGGAAGAGAGGAAACAGGGAAGUUAGGAGGCUAUUGUAGUCAGCCCAAGAUCGAUAGUAUCUCAGGCAAGUAAAGUGGCAAUGAGAUACAGCAGAGUAGACAGCAACUUUUACAUAUGUAUUUUGGAGGUGGAAUCAGAAGGAUUUGCUUAAUGGGUUGGCUGUGGAGGGAGAGGGAGGAAUCAAGGGUGCCUUCAGGUUGCAGGCUCCAGCCUUGGGCUGCUGAUGGUACCAUUUGCUGGUUGGAGAAGACUGGAGGAGGAACAGGUGGAGAGGAGUGGGUAGCAAGAGUUCUGUGUAAAUACUUGGGAGGCAUCCAAGCGGAGAGUUAAGUAGGCACUGAAUAUUUAAGUUGAGCUGAGGGGAGUGAUCUAGACUGGACAUAAAUUUUGGGAGUCACUAGUAUACAGAUGGCAUGUCAUGGAACUGAUUGAGAUUGUUUGUGGCCUUAAGAUCAAGCCCUGCGAGACUGGAGUAAUAAAACUCUGGUCUCCCACACAGCCAGCUCUGUGUGGGGAAAAAAAAAAGCCCUAAAACACUAACAACGGCUAAAGCUUGGGCAAAGGAGACUGAAAAGGUUCAGCCAUUAAAGUGGGAGAGUAUUUUAUUAUUUUCAAGAAAGAGGGAAUGGUCACCUCUGUCAAAUGCUGCUGAGAAGUUACACAAUGAGAAUAGAGAAAUGUCUAUUUGGAUUUGACAACAUGAUGGUGACUGUUUUGACAAGUGGUCCAAGCCACAUUGGGAUGCUUCGAAGAGAGAAUAGGAAGUGAGGUGAAUAUCGACAGCUCGUUAGGGAAAUUUUGCUGCUGUAAAGUGGAGAGAAGCAGCUUAGUGGCUUCAGAGGGAGAUGGGGUCAAAGAAGAGGGCUUUUUUUUUUUUUUAAUUUUUUUUUAAGACAAGAUGUCACUCAGUCAUCCAGGUUGGAGUGCAAUGGUGCAAAUUACGGCUUACCACAGACUCAACCUACUGGGCUCAAGUGAUCCUCCUACCUCAGCCUCUCCUGAGUAGCUGGGACCACAGGUGUGCACCACUGUAACCCAACUAAUUAAAAAAAAAUUUUUUUUAUAGAGACAGGGUCUCCCUAUGUAAAGAAGAAGGCUUUUCUUUUAAACAAUGGGAACUAGAUAGGCUAAUGAGAAUAUUUAAUAGAGAAGGUGAGACUAAUCCAGAAGAGAGACCAAGACUACCAAGGGAGCAGCAUUCUUUUUUUUUUUUUUUUUUUUGGAGACAGUUUUGCUCUUGUUGCCCAGGCUGGAGUGCAGUGGCGCAAUCUCAGCUCACUGCAACCUCCACCUCUUGGGUUCAAGCAAUUCUCCUGCCUCAGCCUCCCAAGUAGCUAGAAUUACAGGUAUGCACCACCACACCCAGCUAAUUUUGUAUUUUUAGUAGAGACGGGUCCACCAUGUUAGCCAGGCUGGUCUCGAACUCCUGACCUCAGGUGAUCCACGCACCUAGGCCUCCCAAAAUGUUGGGAUUAUAGGUGUGAGCCACCAUGCCUGGCCGGGAGCAGCAUUCUUAAGGAAUUCAAGACACAGGAAGAACACUUGCCUUUAGUGGGAGCAAGACAACGCAGUGUGGCAGAAGACAAAGAAUGGGGGCACAAGUGCAAGGUGAAUUGGAGGUAGAAUAUAGGACUUAACUUUCUGACGGCUUCUGUUUUCUCAGUGAAGUCUGAGGCAAGGCCGGUGACUUAAACAAAGAAGGGGUAGUGGAUAAUUUCAGGAAAGAUGGACACUUCACCUUGAGCAACAGGACAAGGAACUGAGUAACUGGGAAACAAGGUAGUUUCAAUGCUGGGCAUUGUUGAAUCCCUUGCCGUGGCUUGGGGCCAUGAAUUUAAGGUGAAACCAGUCAGCUGAGUUAGUUGUGUGAUUUUUUUUUUUCUCCUAGCAACAUUCAGCUGUUAUGAGGGCAGCGAAGAGCAGGCAGGUGAUCAGUUCACCCAAAAUUCGUGUUUUGCCCUGCAGGUUUGACAGAGGAGAAGCAGUGCCAGAGGCUUGAGAGUAGUUGCAAGGGGGUGAUUUUGAUGAUGAACCUUGAAAUGUUAGCUGAGUAGGAAAGCAAGAGAAGAAUCAGAGUGGGGGCCAUGAAAAUCAUUACUGGCUUAAAGUGAGUUAAUGGGCGCAGAGUUUCAGUUUGGGAAGAUGAAAAAUUUCUAAAGCUGGAUAGGGCUCUUGGUUUCACAGCAAUGUGAAUGUAUGUAAUGCCACUCAACCAAACACUUUUAAAUAUUUAAAAUUCAGUAACUCUAUAGAGAAAUAAAGGGUUUUCCCAAUCCUGGAAAAAAAUGGUUAAAAUUGUAAAUCUUACAUAUAUUUUACCAUAGUAAAAAAUGAAUUAGGCUGGGCCCAUGGCUCACACCUACAAUCCCAGCACUUUGGGAGGCUGAGGCAGGCAAAUCGUUUGAGGCCAGGAGUUCAAAACCAGCCUGGCCAACAUGGCAAAACUCAUCUCUACUAAAAAUACAAAGAAAAUAGCCAGGCAUGGUGGCACACACCUGUAAUCCCAGCUACUCAGGAGGCUGAGGCAUGAGAAUUGCUUGAACCUGGAAGGCAGACAUUGGAGUGAGCUGAGAUCUUCCCACUGCACUCCAGCCUGGGUGACAUAGCUAGACUGUCUCAAAAAAAAAAAAAAAAAGAAUGAACACUUAAAUAUUUGUGGCAGAUAGAGGUGUUAUUUGCAUAUGGAAGAAAAUUGCUUUAGAAAUGAAAUUUCAGAUUACUGAAACUAAAGAGAAAGUAUCUCUUCUUAUCAUGGUACCAAGCUUGAGGGUGCAUAAGUCACCUAUAGACGUAGAGAUUGUAGUAUAGGACCUGGGAAUAUUACAUUAUUUGCUCCCAUGUUUACUGUUUUGUUCUAAGCCUUUAGCACAGCAUUCAAAACAAGUUGAGCACUCAGUAAACAUUUGCUGACUCAGUACUUGGAGAACCUAGGUAGAGUAGAAUGAUGGGAAUCAAAAGGAAAACAGUAUUCUGUUAGAGAUCAGCAAUAUCUUACACUAGUAGAGGGAUCUGUGAGAAAAAGAAUCAAGACCAUUGAAUGUGUGGCGGCUUAUAGCAUUUGACAUUCUGAUCUGUGCACGUGAUGAGAAAAAAAGUCUGAUUACAGAACAGGGAAGGAGAGAAAUAAGCAUUGAGUUUCAUUUUUUGUUUGUUUUUGAGACAGGUUCUCACUGUUACCCAGCCUGGAGUGCAGUGGUACAAUUGUAGCUCACUGCAGCCUGGACCUCCUGGGAUCAAGGGAUUCCCCCAACCUCAGCCUCCCAAGUAGCUGGGACUAUAGAAAUGCAACACCAUGCCCAGAUAAUUUAAUUUUUUUUUUUUUUUUUUUUUUUUUGUAGAGACAGGGGUUUCUCUUUGUCACCCAGGCUGGCCUCAAACUCCUGGGCUCAAGCAGUCUUCCCACCUUUCCCUCCCAAAGUGCUGGGAUUACAGGCGUGAGCCACUGCAUCCUGCCGAGAAAAUCAUUUUUUAUUUAAAUAAUGUCAAAUGGAAGUAUGUAGCACCCCCCCCCCACCUUCUUUUCCCCUUUCUUUCCUCUUUGAGUCUGCUGUCAUUCCCUUUUUCAUGAGUUUUCUCUGCUCCCCAAAUAGGCUAAACAAUAACCGUAAAGUGAGAUUAGAGAAAAUAAGAAUGGAGUAGAUGAUGGAAUUCAAAAUAGCUGUCUACAUUCUUCACUGAGAAAGAUAGCUUUGAGUUAAAGGUGAGAGGAGCAAAUCUGGGGAAAAACGGGUGAAACGGCAUGAUUUAAGUAGCAUACCAGAUGCGUUUCUGCAUGGCAUGGCUCUUGCUUGAUGAAUAAUGUUCUGUAUAGUAGAAGAGGAAAAUACAGUGAGUGAAGGAGCUGGCAGAAGGUGGGCUGGGGGAGUUGGGGAAGAGUGAAAUGAGUAUGGAGAGGUGAGAGAGCUGACUGCAAAGGCAUGUGGGGUGUGGAUUUUAAAAGGAAAGCCCUGAGGUGGAAAUCACUAACAUGGUGCCUGGCUACAAGCAGAGGGAGCUCAGGACUUGACUGUGCUGGGGGUGGCCUGCCCUUUUGUAGUGCAGUUGAGGAGAGCUCAGGGGCUGUCAGAAUGCUGUGUGGGAAGGUGGAGGAUGAAAGAGGACCUGGGAGCAGCAACUUUGUUCUGGUUUGUUGUUUUCUCUUCCCUACCUCGUAUGUACUCCCACUCAGGAAAAGAUCCUGAGACCUCUCUGUACCAGAUCCUCUUAUACCCAGGUUCUCCUUAAUCCCAAUCAACUUUAAUCUAUAAAGUUACGAUUUGUUUACUUAUAAAUUUAUUUUUAAUAAAGUUGUGAAACCGAACAUGUUCUGUUUUUGUGGGUUAUUUGGCUCUCUUAUCUUGCAAACACAUUAAACACUUAACAUUACUUAAA